rnacentral:rRNA from 1 species
CCUACGGGUGGCAGCAGUGAGGAAUAUUGGUCAAUGGACGAGAGUCUGAACCAGCCAAGUAGCGUGAAGGAUGACUGCCCUAUGGGUUGUAAACUUCUUUUAUAAAGGAAUAAAACGAGGCACGUGUGCCUUUUUGCAUGUACUUUAUGAAUAAGGAUCGGCUAACUCCGUGCCAGCAGCCGCGGUAAUACGGAGGAUCCGAGCGUUAUCCGGAUUUAUUGGGUUUAAAGGGAGCGUAGAUGGGUUGUUAAGUCAGUUGUGAAAGUUUGCGGCUCAACCGUAAAAUUGCAAGUGAUACUGGCAGUCUUGAGUACAGUUGAGGUAAGCGGAAUGCGUGGUGUAGCGGUGAAAUGCUUAGAUAUCACGAAGAACCCCGAUUGCGAAGGCAGCUUACUAAACUGUGACUGACAUUGAUGCUCGAAAGUGUGGGUAUCGAACAGGAUUAGAUACCCUGGUAGUC